CCUACGGGUGUAGCAGUGAGGAAUAUUGGUCAAUGGCCGGGAGGCUGAACCAGCCAAGUCGCGUGAGGGAAGACGGCCCUACGGGUUGUAAACCUCUUUUGUCAGGGAGCAAGGUGCAGGUCGGGACCUGCUGUGAGAGUACCUGAAGAAAAAGCAUCGGCUAACUCCGUGCCAGCAGCCGCGGUAAUACGGAGGAUGCGAGCGUUAUCCGGAAUUACUGGGUGUAAAGGGAGCGUAGGCGGGAGGAUAAGUUGAAUGUGAAAUCUAUGGGCUCAACCCAUAGCUGCGUUCAAAACUGUUCUUCGUGAGUGAAGUAGAGGCAGGCGGAAUUCCUAGUGUAGCGGUGAAAUGCGUAGAUAUUAGGAGGAACACCAGUGGCGAAGGCGGCCUGCUGGGCUUUUACUGACGCUGAGGCUCGAAAGCGUGGGUAGCAAACAGGAUUAGAUACCCUAGUAGUC
rnacentral:rRNA from 1 species